CCUUCCAUGCUGACACAUGCUAAUCGAACGUCUAAUUUCAUUAGAAAUAAUUUAGUUAGAAGUGGUGUACAGGUGAGUAAAUGAUAUUAUGGCUACCUUGGAGUAAGGGACAUUAAAAUCCCUUAUAUCAUACUAUGCUUUUGUAUUAAAAGAAAUUUAUUUUCGCUCCUAGAUGGAAAUUAAUAUCUCGGACAGGUAGUAGUUAAGGUAAUGGCUUAACUAGCUUAUGCCCGUAGUCGAGACUGAGAGGUCGAUCGAUCACAUUGGGUCUGAAAAAACCCCAAUACGUAUAGUACAGCAGUGAGGAAUAUUGGUCAAUGGCCUAACGGCUGAACCAGCAACUUGGGGGAAUGGAUAUAUAUUAGAGAUAAUAUAUAGUACCGACUGUGUCGGAUAAAGUUCUAGAUAGAAUAAUGAUAAUGACAAUUUUCUAUCUAUAUGUCUUGACCAAAUCUUGUGCCAGCAGUCGCGGCAACACAAGGGAGACUAGUGUUAUUCAUCUUUAUUAGGUUUAAAGGGUACCUAGACGGUAUGUCAUGCCCCAAAAGGGAACGGAUAUACUAGAGUUUUAUGUGAGAGGCAAAUAUAGUACUUAUUGGUGUAGAGAUAAAAUUCAUUGAUACCUCUAGGCACGGGUAACGGCGAAGGCAAUCCUCUAUGUAAAAACUGACGUUGAGGGACGAAGGCUCGGGUAGCGAAUAGGAUUAGAUACCCUAGUAGUCCGGGCAGACAAUUAUGAAUGUCAUAGAUUAGAAAUAUUUGGUCUAUAAAUGAAAGUGUAAGCAUUCCACCUCAAGAGUAAGGCGGCAACGUUGGAACUGAAAUCAUUAGACCGUUUCUGAAACCAGUAGUGAAGUAUGUUAUUUAAUUCGAUAAUCCUC
rnacentral:rRNA from 1 species